rnacentral:rRNA from 1 species
UGCUAGUUUCGUGGCAGCAGCCGAGUGAAUGCGGAGUGGGCCAGCGUUAUCCGGAUUCACGUGGUUUAAAGGGUGUGUAGGCGGGCAGUUAAGUCAGUGGUGAAAUCUCCGGGCUCAACCCGGAAACUGCCAUUGAUACUAUCUGUCUUGAAUUUUGUUGAGGUAGGCGGAAUAUGUCAUGUAGCGGUGAAAUGCAUAGAUAUGACAUAGAACACCAAUUGCGAAGGCAGCUUACUAAGCAAACAUUGACGCUGAGGCACGAAAGCGUGGGGAUCAAACAGGAUUAGAUACCCUAGUAGUC